rnacentral:rRNA from 1 species
UGGGGAAUAUUGGACAAUGGGCGAAAGCCUGAUCCAGCAAUGCCGCGUGAGUGAUGAAGGCCUUAGGGUUGUAAAGCCCUUUUACCCGGGAUGAUAAUGACAGUACCGGGAGAAUAAGCUCCGGCUAACUCCGUGCCAGCAGCCGCGGUAAUACGGAGGGAGCUAGCGUUGUUCGGAAUUACUGGGCGUAAAGCGCACGUAGGCGGCGAUUCAAGUCAGAGGUGAAAGCCCGGGGCUCAACCCCGGAACUGCCUUUGAAACUAGAUUGCUAGAAUCCUGGAGAGGUUAGUGGAAUUCCGAGUGUAGAGGUGAAAUUCGUAGAUAUUCGGAAGAACACCAGUGGCGAAGGCGACUAACUGGACAGGUAUUGACGCUGAGGUGCGAAAGCGUGGGGAGCAAAC